ensembl:miRNA
UAGAGAAACCCCUACAUGACAUCACCUCUCUGAAAGCCACACAUACAUGUAUUUCAGAGAGGUGAUGUCAUGUAGGGGUUUCUCUA